UACAGAGGGUGCGAACGUUGCUCGGAAUCACUGGGCGUAAAGCGCGUGUAGGCGGGUCGUUAAGUGUCCGAGUGAAAUCCCACGGCUCAACCGUGGAACUGCCGGGCAUACUGGCGAUCUUGAGGCAUUCAGGGGCGAGCGGAACAAAUGGUGGAGCGGUGAAAUGCGUAGAUAUCAUUUGGAACGCCAAUGGUGAAAACAGCUCGCUGGGAAUGAUCUGACGCUGAGACGCGAAAGCCAGGGGAGCGAACGGG
rnacentral:rRNA from 1 species